CUUAUUAACACCUCCAGAUUAUAUACACAUUUGAUGUCCCCACAAGUCCAGUGUGUAAUCACAUUCAUGAUGUCCCCACAAGUCCAGUGUGUAAUCACAUUCACGUCCUCGCAAGUCCAGUGUGUAAUCACAUUCAUGUCCCCACAAGUUAGGGUAUGUAAUGCUUUAAUUUAAUAUACACAUAUAUGAUGUCCACGCAAGUCCAAUGUGCAAGUGCAACACACACUCAUAUCCCUACUAGUUACGAAAUCUAAAUACUAGAAUAAUAACCACCGUACAUACAUGCAUGCACGCUCCGUUUGUUCAAAAAUACUACCUGUAUAUGUGCUUCAUGUGCAUCAAACGGCUUGAUUAAGUAUAUAAAGUUGAUUAUCCAUUCAUGUUAAAUGAGCAGAUUGAGAAAUCGCUAAUAUGGCUUACAAGUUAUAAUUAUAAUAAUUAUUACAACUUGUAAUGGAUCCUAUUUUUUUAUCAAAGUUC